rnacentral:rRNA from 1 species
UGAUUGACGAUGGAUCACCAGUGAGUGGCGGACGGGUGACUAACACGUAGGUAACCUGCCCCGGAGCGGGGGAUAACAUUUGGAAACAGAUGCUAAUACCGCAUAACAACAAAAGCCACAUGGCUUUUGUUUGAAAGAUGGCUUUGGCUAUCACUCUGGGAUGGACCUGCGGUGCAUUAGCUAGUUGGUAAGGUAACGGCUUACCAAGGCGAUGAUGCAUAGCCGAGUUGAGAGACUGAUCGGCCACAAUGGAACUGAGACACGGUCCAUACUCCUACGGGAGGCAGCAGUAGGGAAUCUUCCACAAUGGGCGCAAGCCUGAUGGAGCAACACCGCGUGAGUGAAGAAGGGUUUCGGCUCGUAAAGCUCUGUUGUUGGAGAAGAACGUGCGUGAGAGUAACUGUUCACGCAGUGACGGUAUCCAACCAGAAAGUCACGGCUAACUACGUGCCAGCAGCCGCGGUAAUACGUAGGUGGCAAGCGUUAUCCGGAUUUAUUGGGCGUAAAGCGAGCGCAGGCGGUUGCUUAGGUCUGAUGUGAAAGCCUUCGGCUUAACCGAAGAAGUGCAUCGGAAACCGGGCGACUUGAGUGCAGAAGAGGACAGUGGAACUCCAUGUGUAGCGGUGGAAUGCGUAAAUAUA